UGCAAGUCGAACGGGUAACAGGGUCUUCGGACGCUGACGAGUGGCGAACGGGUGAGUAAUACAUCGGAACGUGCCCAGUCGUGGGGGAUAACUACUCGAAAGAGUAGCUAAUACCGCAUACGAUCUGAGGAUGAAAGCGGGGGACCUUCGGGCCUCGCGCGAUUGGAGCGGCCGAUGGCAGAUUAGGUAGUUGGUGGGAUAAAAGCUUACCAAGCCGACGAUCUGUAGCUGGUCUGAGAGGACGACCAGCCACACUGGGACUGAGACACGGCCCAGACUCCUACGGGAGGCAGCAGUGGGGAAUUUUGGACAAUGGGCGAAAGCCUGAUCCAGCAAUGCCGCGUGCAGGAUGAAGGCCUUCGGGUUGUAAACUGCUUUUGUACGGAACGAAAAAGCUUCUCCUAAUACGAGAGGCCCAUGACGGUACCGUAAGAAUAAGCACCGGCUAACUACGUGCCAGCAGCCGCGGUAAU
rnacentral:rRNA from 1 species